UUCACAGUGAAGCAACAUUUUGCGCAUAGCUUGUUCAGGGAUCAGAAAUGCGUUACAUUACGAAGUCUAGUCUAACAACCGAGUAUCAGCAGAAAGGCAGAUAAACAGAACACACAGAAAUAUUUUAACUCAUAUCCCAGAUAUUGACGACCAGGCAGCGAGAAGCGCGGGCCACGUAGUCUUCUGAGAGACACACUACUGACAGGGAGUGAACGCGCUCACUGUUCUCGAACUUUGGAGGUGUUGUUUUCGUCUUACCGCACGAGCUGCUGGGAUUGGUCUUAGGGGAAUCGUGCUAGCGUUGCAGUCGAUCAAAUGAAAUGUAAAGUAAUGCUUAUUUGAACGGUAGACGAAUCCGACGAAUAGAGCUAGGAUGAUGCUGUGAAGGCAUCUUCGACUUCGGUAACAUUUAGUGCAACAAAUGAUGAAGCUUAGGCUUUUAUUAAGGAAGUGUAAGCUCCACGAUUUCAGCAAUCACGCGUAACUAAUCAGUAAUAGAAGUCUGAGACAUCUGGUGAGGGGAAAUAGACAUCGCUGUUCUUUUUUGGACGAUUGGACUGUGACUAAGUGAUGCUAAUGUUAUGAAACUGGACAUCAGUUACCCACGCUUAGCAGUUUGGUACAGUAGUAUACUUGAGAUGCUUUAAAUAAAAAGGUUUGUAUAACUGAUUGAACAAAGUUCGAUUAAUAAUUAAAAAAAACAAAAACAAUUUUCAAGUAAAAAGAGAUAUCGCAAAAAUAAACAACAAACCCAGUUUCCAUCUUUAAAACCUUUAUCGUUAAAAGCGUUUAGACAUUAGCGAUGUGGACGAUUGUUUAAGUACAAAAAAAUACAGAACCAAUCCUGUCGUAGAAACGAUGAUUUUAAUGACUGAGUCCACGUGAAAUGGUAAUAUCGUUCCAAAGUUUCUUUUUGUCAAGAUGGGCAGUGGUCAGUCCACGAGUAAAAAGAAGCAUAAAGAACAGGAUCGAAGAUCGGAAAAUAGGGAAGUGGAUUUUGAAGAUUUUCUAAUCCUCAGAGCCAUUGGAAAAGGAAGUUUUGGGAAGGUAAG